rnacentral:rRNA from 1 species
GAGUUUGAUCCUGGCUCAGAUUGAACGCUGGCGGCAGGCCUAACACAUGCAAGUCGAGCGGAUGACGGGAGCUUGCUCCUUGAUUCAGCGGCGGACGGGUGAGUAAUGCCUAGGAAUCUGCCUGGUAGUGGGGGACAACGUUUCGAAAGGAACGCUAAUACCGCAUACGUCCUACGGGAGAAAGCAGGGGACCUUCGGGCCUUGCGCUAUCAGAUGAGCCUAGGUCGGAUUAGCUAGUUGGUGGGGUAAUGGCUCACCAAGGCGACGAUCCGUAACUGGUCUGAGAGGAUGAUCUGCCACACUGGAACUGAGACACGGUCCAGACUCCUACGGGAGGCAGCAGUGGGGAAUAUUGGACAAUGGGCGAAAGCCUGAUCCAGCCAUGCCGCGUGAGUGAAGAAGGCC